CAAGCCUGAUGCAGCCAUGCCGCGUGUAUGAAGAAGGCCUUCGGGUUGUAAAGUACUUUCAGCAGUGAGGAAGGUGGUGUCGUUAAUAGCGGCAUCAUUUGACGUUAGCUGCAGAAGAAGCACCGGCUAACUCCGUGCCAGCAGCCGCGGUAAUACGGAGGGUGCGAGCGUUAAUCGGAAUUACUGGGCGUAAAGCGCAUGCAGGUGGUUUGUUAAGUCAGAUGUGAAAGCCCGGGGCUCAACCUCGGAAUUGCAUUUGAAACUGGCAGACUAGAGUACUGUAGAGGGGGUAGAAUUUCAGGUGUAGCGGUGAAAUGCGUAGAGAUCUGAAGGAAUACCGGUGGCGAAGGCGGCCCCCUGGACAGAUACUGACACUCAGAUGCGAAAGCGUGGGGAGCAAACAGGAUUAGAUACCCUGGUAG
rnacentral:rRNA from 1 species